rnacentral:rRNA from 1 species
UGGGGGAUAUUGCACAAUGGGCGAAAGCCUGAUGCAGCGACGCCGCGUGGGGGAUGAAGGCCUUCGGGUUGUAAACUUCUUUUGCUCUGAACAAGGCGCACCAUGGGGUGUGUUGAGUGUAGGGGUUGAUUAGCGCCGGCUAACUACGUGCCAGCAGCCGCGGUAAUACGUAGGGCGCGAGCGUUGUCCGGAAUUAUUGGGCGUAAAGGGCUUGUAGGUGGCUGGUUGCGUCUGUCGUGAAAGCUCAUGGCUUAACUGUGGGUUUGCGGUGGGUACGGGCUGGCUUGAGUGCAGUAUGGGAGGCUGGAAUUCCUGGUGUAGCGGUGGAAUGCGCAGAUAUCAGGAGGAAUACCGGUGGCGAAGGCGGGUCUCUGGGCUGUUACUGACACUGAGGAGCGAAAGCAUGGGGAGCGAACAGG